GAUGAACGCUGGCGGCGUGCCUAAUACAUGCAAGUCGAGCGAACAGACGAGGAGCUUGCUCCUCUGACGUUAGCGGCGGACGGGUGAGUAACACGUGGAUAACCUACCUAUCAGACUGGGAUAACUUCGGGAAACCGGAGCUAAUACCGGAUAAUAUAUUGAACCGUAUGGUUCAAUAGUGAAAGACGGCUUUGCUGUCACUAAUAGAUGGAUCCGCGCCGCAUUAGCUAGUUGGUAAGGUAACGGCUUACCAAGGCGACGAUGCGUAGCCGACCUGAGAGGGUGAUCGGCCACACUGGAACUGGGACACGGUCCAGACUCCUACGGGAGGCAGCAGUAGGGAAUCUUCCGCAGUGGGCGAAAGCCUGACGGAGCAACGCCGCGUGAGUGAUGAAGGUCUUCGGAUCGUAAAACUCUGUUAUUAGGGAAGAACAAAUGUGUAAGUAACUAUGCACGUCUUGACGGUACCUAAUCAGAAAGCCACGGCUAACUACGUG
rnacentral:rRNA from 1 species